rnacentral:rRNA from 1 species
AUUGAUGACUAGCAGUCAGACAGUGUGAGAUAAGUUUCAUUGUCAAAAGGGAAACAGCCCAGACCUACAGCUAAGGUCCCAAAUGUAUGCUAAGUGGAAAACGAUGUGGGAUUGCGAAAACAACCAGGAUGUUGGCUCAGAAGCAGCCAUACAUUAAAAGAGUGCGUAAUAGCUCACUGGUCGAGUGGUCCUGCGCGGAAAAUGUAACGGGGCUAAGCAUACAACCGAAGCUUAGGAUUGUCUAAAGACAGUGGUAGGGGAGCGUUCUGUAUGGGGUGAAGUCGCAGCGAGAGCAGCGGUGGACUGUACAGAAGUGAGAAUGCCGGAAUGAGUAGCGAGAAUUAUGUGGGAAUCAUAAUGGCCGAAAAUCUAAGGUUUCUUGGGGAAGGUUCGUCCGCCCAAGGUAAGUCGGGAGCUAAGCUCAGGCCGCGAGGCGUAGGCGAUGCACAUACGGUAGAAAUUCCGUAACCACCGAACUUUAAGCAUGAGGGACACUUUGAGAUAGCGGAACCCGGGCGUUGGUUGACCCGGGCGAAAGGGACCGAAAUAUAGUAGGGAAGUCCGCGAUGCUCGGAGGCGAGAAAAGCUCAUGUGUAUACUAAGGUGCCCGUACCGCAAACCGACACAGGUAGAUGAGGAGAGAAUCCUAAGGCCAACGGGAGAAGGGUUGUUAAGGAACUCGGCAAAUUGACCCCGUAACUUCGGAAGAAGGGGAGCCUCGAAAGAGGCCGCAGUGAAUAGGCCCAAGCAACUGUUUACCAAAAACACAGGUCUAUGCUAAAUCGAAAGAUGACGUAUAUGGGCUGACGCCUGCCCGGUGCCGGAAGGUUAAGAGGAGAGCUUAGCGCAAGCGAAGGUUUGAAUUGAAGCCCCGGUAAACGGCGGCCGUAACUAUAACGGUCCUAAGGUAGCGAAAUUCCUUGUCAGGUAAGUUCUGACCCGCACGAAUGGCGUAAUGAUUUGAGCACUGUCUCGACAAUGCAUCCGGUGAAAUUGAAGUACCAGUGAAGAUGCUGGUUACCUGCGCCAGGACGGAAAGACCCCAUGGAGCUUUACUCCAGCUUGAUACUGGGAUUCGAUACUGUAUGUACAGGAUAGGUGGGAGACGUUGAUCGUAUGACGCCAGUUGUACGUGAGUCGCUGUUGGGAUACCACCCUUGCAGUAUUGGAUUUCUAACCUGCAGCCAUGACCUGGCUGGGGGACAAUGUCUGGCGGGGAGUUUGACUGGGGCGGUCGCCUCCGAAAGGGUAUCGGAGGCGCUCAAAGGUUCCCUCAGAAUGGUUGGAAAC